rnacentral:lncRNA from 1 species
AUGCAUAGUGUUCAGGCACCAAGGAAGAGAACCAAUGGCAGAAGUCACACAUGCAAGCAAGAUGGGAGUCUGGAGAGCCUCAGGCUAAAUCACCAGUGCUCAGCCCUCUUCUCUUUCCCCAGUAGGGGCCUUGCCUCUCCAGUGUACCCGGCUUUUGAAGGACCUUGUCUCCAUGUUUCCAUUGUUGAUGGAAGGACCGUGGCAGGACUUUGCUUUCCAGUGCCACUAUUAUGUCAGCAGGCUAGCCCUGAACCCCACAUGUCAGAUUCACUGAAUCCCAAGACAAGGAGCUCUUUGAUAAUGGGCUAGAGGAAAGUGUGAAAGAAUGGUUUAGAACUAAUUCAAGAAAGAACAAUCUGAUUCCCACUUGGAGGAGGACGCAGGAGCUGAAUCAGAUGGGGCUGUGGUGCCUGGGGAGGAGGAAAUUGUGAGUACUUGCUCUUGAUUGAGUAUCAUUAUCCUCCUGUUGUCUAGGAAGAUGAUUGUUAUAAUUAGCCACAAAUGUCAUGGGCAACUAUAAUUUACCUUUUCCUGUAACAACUGAUAGUUUACCUUUUCAAUGCCUCCUUUUAUCUUCCCACCAUGGGGCUUUCCCCAUCCCUCCAUAACAA